rnacentral:rRNA from 1 species
CCCUUAGAUGUUCUGGGCCGCACGCGCGCUACACUGAUACAGGCAGCAAGUUAUAUUUCCCCUUGGCUGAGAGGCCUGGGUAAUCUUGUGAAAUUGUAUCGUGAUGGGGAUAGGUCACUGUAAUCGUUGACCUUUAACGAGGAAUUCCUAGUACGCGCAAGUCAUCAGCUUGCAUGGAUUACGUCCCUGCCCUUUGUACACACCGCCCGUCGCACCUACCGAUUGAAUGUUUCGGUGAAGAUUCCGGAUAGGACUUUUUUGAUUUAUUUCAAUUUUGUCUUAAAAGCUAUCUAAACCUCAACAUUUAGAGGAAGGUGAAGUCGUAACA